AGCGGCGGAUGGGUGAGUAACACGUGGGGAACCUGCCCCUAAGUCUGGGAUACCAUUUGGAAACAGGUGCUAAUACCGGAUAAUAAAGCAGACCGCAUGAUCAGCUUUUGAAAGGCGGCGUAAGCUGUCGCUAAGGGAUGGCCCCGCGGUGCAUUAGCUAGUUGGUAAGGUAACGGCUUACCAAGGCGACGAUGCAUAGCCGAGUUGAGAGACUGAUCGGCCACAUUGGGACUGAGACACGGCCCAAACUCCUACGGGAGGCAGCAGUAGGGAAUCUUCCACAAUGGACGCAAGUCUGAUGGAGCAACGCCGCGUGAGUGAAGAAGGUUUUCGGAUCGUAAAGCUCUGUUGUUGGUGAAGAAGGAUAGAGGUAGUAACUGGCCUUUAUUUGACGGUAAUCAACCAGAAAGUCACGGCUAACUACGUGCCAGCAGCCGCGGUAAUACGUAGGUGGCAAGCGUUGUCCGGAUUUAUUGGGCGUAAAGCGAGCGCAGGCGGAAAAAUAAGUCUAAUGUGAAAGCCCUCGGCUUAACCGAGGAACUGCAUCGGAAACUGUUCUUCUUGAGUGCAGAAGAGGAGAGUGGAACUCCAUGUGUGGCGGUGGAAUGCGUAGAUAUAUGGAAGAACACCAGUGGCGAAGGCGGCUCUCUGGUCUGCAACUGACGCUGAGGCUCGAAAGCAUGGGUAGCGAACAGGAUUAGAUACCCUGGUAGUCCAUGCCGUAAACGAUGAGUGCUAAGUGU
rnacentral:rRNA from 1 species